ACUGCAGCCAUACGGGGACAGAGGGAAAAAAAAGAAAGAAACCAGGUCAGAUCGUAUAGACACGAAGCGCGACGAUCUUGAAGUGUCAGCCUUCGAACUCUCGAUCGGCUGCCGUCUGAUUGUGAGUCAAACGAUCGCGGUAAAAGCGCAGUUUGCGAGAUACGAGAGUGCGGAAACGAGCGAGAGAGGUCGACGUAUUGAAACAAUAGGCGGUAAGGAUUCCCCGCGGAAAUAAAAAGAAAGAGAAAAUUAACGCGACGAUCACGGACGACGUCGCGGUCGCGGCGAAUCGCACUUGUUGUCUCGUCGACGAACGCGUCGACGAUGCGCCGAGUUUCCGUCUACGCGGAAUAUUAUAUAAGGUUCUCUGUUUUCUUUUCAGCCGCUAUAUAAUGUCGAGCAGAUAAAGCGAUCCAUCACGUCUGUCAUGCAUAGGAUGCGCGAUGACGGGCAACGGAGGCACGGGAAAUGCGCAGCUAACGAGAUGAUCGUGGACGAGGCGCCGGGAAAUAAUGCGUGGCACGUACAGUAAUUAGGAUAAUGCGGCAGGUGAGCGCGUUUAUUCUGCAUUUCGAUCGAACAAGAGAAGCAGAGUAGUAAUUACAAUUACAAAAUGGCUGGCUCAAGUGUCGGGCUUCAAUGGAGAAGAGCCAGCCAUUAUCGCGCGCGCGGUCUCUUAUCACUACGAAAUUCAUGAACCGGAUUCGACCGGCUAAAGUGCGUUUGCGUGCGCGGGAAAAAAUAUUGGGUCUGCGUCCUUGCGGGAUAUGCCGAGAGAAUUUUUCAUUUUAUAUUUCGCCGCAAAGUUCGCUACAAAUUUUAUCGUGUGUGGUGAUAACCUUGGAACAACUUGGCAACUUAUCAAAUAUUAUGAGUAACGAUAGGAAUUUUGGAAAUAUACAAGAGACAUUUUAUAAAUAUCAUCCUGCGUUGCAACAUUUAUGAGAUAUUUUAUAAAUUUAUCGCCAUUUAUUCUAUUUGAAAUAAUAAAAAAUCGUAAACUCAACAUCUUUUAGCAUCGACAUCGAAUUAUACAGUUGAUUCGAGUAAAAAUAGUCAAACGUACUUUAUAUUUUAUAUAAACCUGUGUCAAAGUAUAAAAUAUGCGCAGCAGAUAUUAAUAAAUCAGAGGCAAUGGCGUAAAAUUCUUUGAAAUGAAAUGUUGUCUUACGGUUAUCAUGAUUUUCAAAUUUUGUGAUAAAAAUCUUUCUGUGUAUCGUUACAUAAUGCAAUGAAAUUGCAGUCCGUGCUAAGAGUAUUUUUUUCUGGGGAAUAAUUUUCUCACACGACUAAUUAUGCGCCAUUAAAACACAAUACAUAAUCGAUAAAAAUCGCGAAAUAUUCAUUCUCAGCCUGGCAAAUAAUAUAAGGCUGGGUCACUAGGUCGCCUCAACGCUAAUACAACGCGACAAUAGAAAAAUUGCUGAAAUUAAAUAUCUGUUAUUUUGCAAUAAAAAUGAACAGAAUGGAAUGAAUUAAAUACUACUCUGCAGAAAAAAUCUGUCAUUUUAAGGAAAAAAAAAAAAAAUCAUUACACCUAUAUGAAUAUGCAAAAGUAAAGGCCAUGGCACACAAAAGAACGUAAGCAGUAAAACUUAGGCAGUAAAAGCCAAUCAGCCAAUUACAGUCGAAAAUAUAAGGCCAUAAUGUAAGACCAUAAUGUAAAUAGCAGAAAAUCCAACAUGUUGAUUUUCUUACUGCAUGCGUUUUAUUGCUUGAGUUUUUUUUAUGUGUUGUGGCCUUAAAUGUCAUAAACAAAAAGAAUCAACAAUCUGACUGCGUAAUUUUGUAAAUUAUAUUUUCAAAUAAAAGUACCUGAAGUUGGACAAUAAUUACGAGUUCGUAAAUAUAUAUUCUUUUUGCAAUAUAAGUUAAAGUUUCUUUUACAAAUUUCUUUUAAUUCAUUCGUUUCAUUUUGUUCGCUUAUUGCAAAAUAAGCUGUUUAUAUUUCAGCAACUUCUCGAUCCUCAAUUUGUACAAAUCACGUAGUCUGAAUAAUCUGAAUUCUUCGUGAAUAAUUUUAUAUUUAAGAUUGAACGUCUUCUCCGAUUUAUUCAUUUUUGUGUGAAAAUUCUGUUUAAAAAUAUAUAUAGUUGCUUUUAACGUCAAUCGAUAUUUCAUUUGAAUUUAAAUUUCCUUCUCUGAGAUAAAAAGCAGCAUGUAAAUUACGUUUACCUUAUUGUACUUAACUCUACGAUCUAAUCCAGACAUUCUUUUUCCAAAUGCAAUUUCUCGUGCUCCGCAAAAGUCCUCUCGCGCGCAAAAGUAUUAUCCCAGUCAGCGAAAUCUCGUUACUAAGGUUACAUUCGCAACGGCGAUUUAAAUUUACAUCUCGCGAAUCUAAUCUUUCCGCGUAAUUAUUAUUUUUUUCUUAAAAGUGCGAAAUCGAAGUUGUUUCUCUCGGCUUGCCACCACUUUCUUUCAUCAUAAAAGCUAAUUGAGGAUAAAGGAUGUUGAAUUAUAUCAGCGCGAUAACGCGAUUUCAAUUUCGAGAUAACGACUCUUUUUCUCUUCCCGCGAAUUCAGAUUUUUUUGUCUCGCGAAUUCAGGUCGUGUCUUCGACGCCCGAUUUGAGUUUGUAUCACGAGUCACGACCCGAGUACAAAGGAAUCGUGAUGCGAUAAAUACUUUCAUCGUGACUCAUCAAAACGCAGAGAAGAAGCUUGCGGAAAUAAAGGCAUGAUGCAAUGCCAUCUCAUUUUUUUUUUAUCAAUUCCCUUGACAGCAAAACGUUCAUAUCGAUUGUGAUAAAAAAAAAGACUUGAGAUUUAAUAAUUUCGCAAAUUUCUUCGUAUCAUUCUUAAACGAUCUCUUUCAUUUUUACAUUCGUUCUAACACGAUUCAACAGUCCUUUAAAAAACUUAUUGAGUUCUUAAUAAAUCAAUAAAGCUUUCCUAAAUCAUCAAAAAUAAUCACACAUUGCGAAAGUUAAAUUCUAUUGGAUUGAAAAAAAAGUUUGUAGCGUUGUUUAAAUCAAAUUCCAAAAUAUUUGUACAUAAAUUUAUUUAACCUAUAUGUACUGCUAGAAAUUUUUGUUCCAAUUUAAUAUAUACAUAUAUAAAUGUUAUAGGUGCAAUAUUGUAAUUUAAAAUAUAAAAGAGAGUUGCAGAAAGCUUUUAAGAUCUAAUUUAAUAAUGUUUAUAUCUAAUUUAAAACUAUGCUAAAAACUGUUGCAAAAUAAUGUAAAUAAAGUUCUUUUGCGUCAGAGAAACGAUUGUCUUGAAGGAAAAAAGUAAACAUUUGUUCGACACGCUGAGAAAUGUCCAAGGCGUAUUUAUAGUAGCGCUUAAAUGUCGCGAUAAAAUCUAUUGUUAAGUGCGCGCACACACAAUGACCAACAGGAAAAGGAAAUCCUAAUCAGACAUCUCCCAGACCUCUCUCAAUUAAAAGCCCCGAUGCAAGUUGGCGAGCAUCGCAGCUGUAUUAGAUUCUAAAUAUAACUGUUCUUCGCGUGCACAUAUAUUAUUUGUGUAUCCAUCAAAGUUCGGGAAAAUUCCGACGGUGUGGUAUUUUUGUAUCGCUACCUCGCGUUUUCAGGGUGAUCACAGGUUCGGAAAGUUCGCAUCACGGAAAUAUCAACAUGACCGCGAGCCAAUUACGCCGUCAUUCGCGCCGUUAAUUGCUGAUCGAUCGAUCGAUCAAUCCUUAAUGAAACGCGUCAAUUUAGAAACGGUUCAUGCUUCGCGGACGUUAUUGUUAUUCUGAACAUUCGCGCAAACACAUACUAUUAGCGCUACUACAAUAACUCAUUGCAAAACGGUAACAAUCUUACGUGAGAGACGAUUUAUGAAUUUAUAAAAAAAAUAUUUGAAUUAAUUGUUAACCGAGAGAAAUGUGAGUUGAUAUUAUUCGAAUAGUUAGCAUUGAUAUAUAGUAGUAGUAUUCCCAGCAAAUGAAAAUAAAUUAAAAUCGAUAAAAACUAAAUUUAUUUUGACAUUUUCGAAUUCACGCUUCGGAUUUUUCGCAUCUAUUUGAAUCCAAAAAUAAUAUGAAUUCAACAUGAUGAAUAGCUCAUUUCGUAUUUCAAAUCAUUUGAAUUAAAAAAUAAUAUAAUGGGGGCGUGAAUCCACCAGAAUUCAAAAUAAUAAAUAGCUCAUUUCAAUUCACUUGAAUCAAAAAAUAAUAUAAUAGACCCAUUUGAAUUCAAAAUGAUGAAUAGCGCAUUUCGUAUUUCAAUCGGUUUGAGUCCAUUUGAAACCAAAAAUACUCCGGUAUUCCGAUUCUAAAGCGCGAACUCGGUUAAACUAAAAUAAAUUGCAAUUUUCAAUUCCAUUUGAAUUUAUUUUCGUUUGCUGAGUCGACAAAGAGUUUCGCACUUUCAUUGCAGAUUGUCGAAAAAUAUAAGAGUUAAUUACGUUGUCAUCGUAGCGUUCUUGGCGAUAGCAUCCGCGCGAAAAAUCCUGAUAAUCACACUUCUAACGUUCUCAAUUAGCUCCUCGGUCCUCCGCGGCAGAUUCUUAGCUUUCUUUCGAAUGGGAUACACGCGACUGACGAUCGAGCGAUAGAUCGAAGCACGAUAUUCGCGCGCGAUGUUCUUCCGAUCGCGGGAAUCGGCGAAUGAAUAGGAAAGUACGUGACAAAACGGAUCGCGCCGCUUGCGAGGAAGCGCAAGCUUAUUGACGGACAAUCGAGGUGACGCGAUGAUGAAAAUGAUGAUGAUGAUGCAUCAUCACGUGAAUAGAUCUAAUAAAUUGGUAGGCCGGAUGACUCUCACGAGACAUAAUUCGAUUAAUUUGUCGGCGGGCAGCUACAGACUCGCGCGCGCCUGUAAACUUUGUUCCGCGUAGAUUAAUGUCAAUUAACAUAAACGGGGGCUCGUGACAGCCAUUUACUAUGGAUCACCGUAUCUUCUAGAAAGAUUUCCACGCGACUUGUUUAUCUCUUGAAGAAUUCAGACCUAUGCUAUCCAUUAUGAAUUUAUGAUAUUUAUAAAAAUUUCUUCUCUUAAAAAAAAAUCAAAUAAUUGAAGCAAUUAAGUUUAUUUAUAUACAUACACUAAAAAAAAACUUACUAAAAUUUCAAAAUUUGCGAUAUUUUUCGUACAAUUUAACGCAUCGAUUUUGUUCCUCGACACAUUUUCAUGAGGUAUUUUAUCAAGACAGCGUUAAUUAAGCGACAAUCGAACAAUAGAAAUUUUUUCAUGCAAGAUUCGAUAUCGCUUCUAAAAACAAGAGAUCAUUUCUUUCGUGUCAUUGUUACCGCUUAUUGUUAGCCAUACCGUAAGGAAUUUCCCGGCGUGAGGUGCAUAGUAUCAAGGUGCAUAAUAAGCGACGCUUGAGCGUUAUCCAAUCCGAUACAAUUCCGCUCGGUACUUGCACUUUUGCCAUGGUUAAUAAAUUUCGAUUAAGGGCGACGUGGAAAUCUACUCUUCGCCGAGCUACGACGCGUUCUAACAAGGCCUCGGCUCUUUCACGAAUUACCAUGGAUUUACGGCGCCGCUCGGCGAGACGACGGGCCGCGCAAUCGUCUUCUCAUGCACCGCGAUGCAAACGGAAGAUGCAAGACGUGCUGUCUUGCGAUUUACCGAAUAAAACCAAAAUAUUUUAAUAUUUUAAAAAGUAUUUCAAUAUUUUAACAAGAAUCUUAAAAUCCCUAAAAUAUUUUGCUUUUAUUCUUUUGUAUUUUUCGUGAUACAAUUUCAUGAAUACAAUUUUAUAGAAUCAUGUUUAAAUCCUGGAUGAGAUAAUAUUUUUCGCAGUAAGUUCUUCGCAGUAUUUUAAGAUAUUUGUCAACGUCAGCAUAAUUAGAGAUGUUUAUUAGCAUCAGUAUUAUUAAAUUGCUUAUCAAUUGAAUAUUGUAAUAUUAGUAUUCUGAUUCAACUUACAAACUACGUUUUAAGAGCGAAGAUAACGAAAACGGCAAUUUAAAGAACUAAAAAAUUUAUGUAAGAUCGCAUAAGAAAUAUUACUGCACUAUGACAGUUCGUUCUUCCGAUUUAAAUUAUAUUAUACAUAGCAUGAUUCUAAUUAAUUAUUGUUCAUGAAUUUUGAAACGACUGAAUCGAAGAUUUGACAAUUAGAAUAGAUACUGUUUUAGCACAAGAAAUAAAUAAUUAAUAUACAUAUAAGACUAUGAAAUGUGCAAUAUAAUGAAAACCAAAAAGAAAAGGCCAAUAACGAAUCUGAAAUAUAACAAGUAUAAAACAAAUACAAUGUAACGAUAUGAUAAAAAAGUAAAAUAACCAAACGAAACCCUAGUUUAAGAACCUUGAGCUUCAACUCGUUCUUGCAAUUAAAAUUAGAUUAGCAAUUUACGUCCAUGUCGAUAUCUAUUUAUGGACCGUAAAGUUUGUUGAGACUUCAUCAAUAUGGAAUAUCGAUAGAGACUGUCUUUAAUGGCGUUUAACGUCUAAAUAUUUUACUACGAUUAGACAUUACUGUCAACCGUCCUUUCUCUCCUUUUAAACGCCAUCGAAUUGCUCUCUGCAAUUCGUAUUCCGCUUAAACUGCCGCGCCGUUCAGAAUGCGCGAUAAGUCGCGUGCUUCUUGCUAGCAGUUUACGAUCGAUACGAGUGUGAAUGAAUUCUAGCACUAGCUCGAUUUGAAAAAAAUGUUACGGCCCAAGACUACAGUUUUCAGAAAAUAAUAUAAAGUCAAUUAUUUUAAUCCUAUUUUAAUGGAUCAUAAAAUUAUGCAAUUGUUGAUUGAAAUACAUCUGUAUAAUUCGAAUGAUCGUCUUUUUGCGGAGAAACUUACGACAGUCUUAGAAAAACUAUCCCAUUCGAAGGCGACACGAUCUCGAUAAGGGAAAGGAUAAUUUUCAUUUAUCUUACUGCUGCAACAAGUGACGCAAGGUUCUGCGUACAACAAAUAGAUGUUAGAAACAGGAAUAAAAAUUUUAGAAUCAGUUUCCUCAAUGAACGCUAUAAUAAACAAUAACUUACGUCGUAUUUCGUACGACACAUCUAUAUUUCACGUUUUAUUCGUAUCCAUUAUGCGGUACGUUUAAUAUUCAUUGAGGAAGCUGAUUCUAAAAUUUUACUUCCUAUUCGUAAUAUUUCUCUAUUGUGCGCAGAUCUCAACUUCUGCUUUUCCGUACUCGUCGAAGUAAAACUCGCGAAUGAAACGUCGUACUUGCCGAAAUCAAAACGAGCCUCUCGAGUCGUUCAACCUCGCUUCCGCUUGCCCUCGAUCCGAAACCGCGGCCGCGCGGAUCGAUGAGCCGGAGUGCGGAUCGCGGCAGCUAGCGUCAACGUCAUCGCGCGCUCGCGCAAAGUCAUCGCCGGGCAAAAUUAUGCUAAAUGUGCAACUCACGGGCACGCAGGUCCCCCGCUGUCUCGCGUCGCGCUCAUGUAAUCGCGAGCGCCAACUUUCUUUUCCAACGACGGCGACGGCGACGGCGACGGCGACGGCGACGAGCGACGAGGCAGCGCAACCGGCGCGGCGGAACGGAGACGAGUCUCUCGGCGAUUCGAUGAAACGUUUAUGGUCGCCCGCACGUGGGACUAUACACAGAUCUGGCUAAAUUUUUAGAUGCUUCAGCAAACCUGUUCUACCACCACGCGUGUAACACGUCAUUUACUUUUGAUGCCGGAUUUAUCACUCGAAAUUCGAAAAGGGAUUGAAAGAGGGGCUCAAAGGAUAAUAUCAUUAACGAUUUUGGAGUCGUGUCGCCGAAGAAAGCGGAGAUUUUCGAUGGAAAUCCCGUGAAAAACGCGGUGCUGUUUUCGGGAGUCAUGUCGCUGAAUAAUGCAUGGAUCGAGUUCUCUCGGUUGCGCGAGGCGCAGUCGUAAUGAACUUUACAGUGAAUCGUAAAUCGCAAAGAAAACCAGCGUCCUUUUUCUUCCUACGGCCGGUUGACAGGCCGAGCUGUGGUCGUUUACCACGUAUGCACGCGACAUGUGUGGCGCGUGUGCAUGAGAGAAACACAAACCUCUCGGAACCGGUUUUCCGAAGCUCGUUCCCGAGCUGCCGUAAGCUUUACAGCCGAAAGCAAGUCUCGAAUCUUGCACCGCCUUCUACGACGCACUCGAAAAGCUCGACGCUUGGAUGCUAUCGACGUGGAUGCACUUUUUACGCUGUUCGACGACGGGAAAUCGAAUUCUCAUUCGAUUGAUUGAGCAUGAAAAAAAUAUUCGAGACGGAGAUAAUCCAUUUUUUAUUAUUAUUAGAAUCGGAUUAAAAAUAAAUUUUUUUUCAGGAUCGACUUACGUUGUAAUUAUCUUCAACGGACGAGAGAAAAAAAUUCAUCAGAGCGUGAAUACCGAACAUACAUAAUCGUUCUUGUUGCCGUAAAAUAUGUAAACAUUCCUAUUCGCACAUUAAAGAUUAACAUAACAUUUAAAUAUAAAAUAAAUAAUUUAUUGAUAGUGCGGUUUAAAUGAAGAAAAGGGAGGAAUGGAUCUGAUAUGCAAAUUAAAAUAUUUAUUCGACAUUGAACGAGAAAACUAAAUAAAUAUAAAUGGAGCUGCGUCAAUCGAUAUGUCACUCCACAUAACACGCGGGCUAUUAUUUAUCUACAGUCAAUCGAUCAAAAACAAUUCUCAAUUCGGAUACGUCGUAGUUAUAUUAGUUGGGACAGAGGAGGGCGAUAGAAGGAGUGGGAAGAUGAAAAAUAGAUUCGAUGUCGCACGAUAUUUAUGAGACGAUUGGCUAUAGCUUUAGCGAAAUUAUGUAGUAAAAUUUGAAUAAACGUUUGCGGAAUGAAAAAAACGAUUUACUUGCAAGCUCGCGUUUCUCUCUCUCUCUCUCUCUCUCUCUCUCUCUCUCUCUCUGCGCCAAUUGUCAGCGAGCGCGUGUGAAUAACUCUACGUGCCCGAUUAUGUGUAAUUAUUGGUAAAAUAAUUUUACGUGCGAGUAUCCACUUCGCCAGAAUUGACAAUGUUCUCUUCAGCGGUACAUAUGAAUUGCGAGAUGAUGAAAUAUGAGAAAAUUAAACGGUGAUAGCGGGAUCAACAAGUGAUACGAUUAUACAUAGUCGCGUCUGGAAAAAAAUUAACUCUCCAGAAUAAUCAGCUUUUCCUUCGCGAUGAGAAUUUAAAAUCGCGUAUUAAAAUAAUAGUAUUUAAGUAUUGACCGGAGAAUGUGAAAAAAGGAAUUAAAUGUUCAAUAAUUUGUCAAAUAAAAUUUAUCAAGACCGCAUAGAUUCAUAUUAUUUAUAGAAAAUUAGUAAUCGUAAAUUAUACAUAAGGCUACUUCUUGCGGUUGAGUUGCAUCGUGCCGUUUCUUUUGCCUAAGAUACGAUGCAUGCAGCAAAUUAAAUAAUUUAAAUAUACCUAAAAUUGUAUAUCAAUCUAAAAGAAGAUGGUUAUUUUAUUUCGUAAUUUUUAGAGCGCCUGUUUUUUUCUCGAUUACAGUACAAGCACGUACGAUCGAUCGUUAUCGAUCUCUCACUCCUGUUCGCCAAAAUCGUUCGAAAUUACAUUGAGAUCGAUAGAGUGGCCGGAAGGGCGGUAGCACGUUUUAACGACGUCGCGUUCGUUUUAACUGGUUUAUGCGACGUAUACACGACAGGCACGUAACCCGUGGCCCGCAAUAAUGCUCGCCGUGCCGAAUGUGAUCAUUAUGCCAGUAUGUUUCGCGAUCUCGUGCGCGCGUGCGUUCGCGCGCGUACCCUUGACGUCAACGGCUCUAUUUUCGGUCGUCGUCGGCGUACAUUUAACGCCGGGCGUACAUCGUAAAAUCUACGAUUGAACACGAGCGGGCUGUGUGUUUAUAACUAAAUAUAUUGCACCUCGCAAAGUUUCCGCCGUCAUUAGAGAACUCUUUAGAUUAAUGAUUCGCUACGUUAAAGAGAAUUAAUUCAUUCACGAGAUUCGCAUGUAAUUAAAAUUUUAAAUUACAAAAUAAAGAAAAUUAUUUGGAAAUGACAUGUAAACUUAUUGCUUAUUUUGUUAUUAAAGCUAUUCCAUUAAAAUGUUUUUGAUGUCAUUUUCUGACACUGAUUGCAUAUUGACAGAAUUCAAUUGAAUUCUUAUUAAUAUAUAAAGUGAAAAAAUUUUUUCCUUUAUGUAAUAGAAAAACGUAGAAACUUCAGUUUAUAAAUAUCUAUUUUAAAAUGUGUCUAAUAAUUAACAUAUUUGUCAUAUCUAAAUGUAAAAAAAAUGCAUUAUUUACAUUCUGCUUGGAAAUAGUUUUUACUAAUCUUCUCUAUUAUGUUUAUGUAUAAUGCUAUGUUAUUACCUGCGUGAUAAAACUACUUUUUUUUUACUACCACUCAUUUAUAAAAACGUUAUACAAUAGACCUGUUUUCUAUAGUUGAAUUACCGCAUACUUUCUGUACUUGAAGUGAAACAGGUAACGUUUGAAAUUUAGUGAAAGCGAGAAGAAAAAUUCUGGCGCAGCCCAAUGCAACAAUAAAACAAACCUAAUAUUAACUAAAUAAAUUUUUAAACAAAAAAACAAUCUUUUUAUUUAUGUCAUUGAUGAUUGUAAA